UACGAAGGGGGCUAGCGUUGCUCGGAAUCACUGGGCGUAAAGCGCACGUAGGCGGCUUUCUAAGUCAGGGGUGAAAUCCUGGAGCUCAACUCCAGAACUGCCUUUGAUACUGGAGAGCUCGAGUCCGGAAGAGGUGAGUGGGAACUCCGAGUGUAGAGGUGAAAUUCGUAGAUAUUCGGAAGAACACCAGUGGCGAAGGCGGCUCACUGGUCCGGUACUGACGCUGAGGUGCGGAAAGCGUGGGGAGCAACAGGG
rnacentral:rRNA from 1 species